AGAGUUUGAUCCUGGCUCAGGACGAACGCUGGCGGCACGCUUAACACAUGCAAGUCGAACGAGAGAAGAGGAGCUUGCUUUUCUGAUCUAGUGGCGGACGGGUGAGUAACACGUGAGCAAUCUGCCUUUCAGAGGGGGAUACCGAUUGGAAACGAUCGUUAAUACCGCAUAACAUAAUUGAACCGCAUGAUUUGAUUAUCAAAGAUUUAUCGCUGAAAGAUGAGCUCGCGUCUGAUUAGCUAGUUGGUAAGGUAACGGCUUACCAAGGCGACGAUCAGUAGCCGGACUGAGAGGUUGAUCGGCCACAUUGGGACUGAGACACGGCCCAGACUCCUACGGGAGGCAGCAGUGGGGAAUAUUGCACAAUGGAGGAAACUCUGAUGCAGCGAUGCCGCGUGAGGGAAGAAGGUUUUAGGAUUGUAAACCUCUGUCUUCAGGGACGAAAAAAGACGGUACCUGAGGAGGAAGCUCCGGCUAACUACGUGCCAGCAGCCGCGGUAAUACGUAGGGAGCGAGCGUUGUCCGGAAUUACUGGGUGUAAAGGGAGCGUAGGCGGGAUCGCAAGUCAGAUGUGAAAACUAUGGGCUUAACCCAUAAACUGCAUUUGAAACUGUGGUUCUUGAGUGAAGUAGAGGUAAGCGGAAUUCCUAGUGUAGCGGUGAAAUGCGUAGAUAUUAGGAGGAACAUCAGUGGCGAAGGCGGCUUACUGGGCUUUAACUGACGCUGAGGCUCGAAAGCGUGGGGAGCAAACAGGAUUAGAUACCCUGGUAGUCCACGCCGUAAACGAUGAUUACUAGGUGUGGGGGGACUGACCCCUUCCGUGCCGCAGCAAACGCAAUAAGUAAUCCACCUGGGGAGUACGACCGCAAGGUUGAAACUCAAAGGAAUUGACGGGGGCCCGCACAAGCAGUGGAGUAUGUGGAUUAAUUCGAAGCAACGCGAAGAACCUUACCAGGUCUUGACAUCGUAUGCAUAGCUCAGAGAUGAGUGAAAUCUCUUCGGAGACAUAUAGACAGGUGGUGCAUGGUUGUCGUCAGCUCGUGUCGUGAGAUGUUGGGUUAAGUCCCGCAACGAGCGCAACCCUUACUGUUAGUUGCUACGCAAGAGCACUCUAGCAGGACUGCCGUUGACAAAACGGAGGAAGGUGGGGAUGACGUCAAAUCAUCAUGCCCCUUAUGACCUGGGCCUCACACGUACUACAAUGGCUGUCAACAGAGGGAAGCAAAGCCGCGAGGUGGAGCGAACCCCUAAAAGCAGUCUUAGUUCGGAUUGUAGGCUGCAACCCGCCUACAUGAAGUCGGAAUUGCUAGUAAUCGCAGAUCAGCAUGCUGCGGUGAAUACGUUCCCGGGCCUUGUACACACCGCCCGUCACGCCAUGGGAGUCGGUAACACCCGAAGCCUGUAGUCUAACCGCAAGGAGGACGCAGUCGAAGGUGGGAUUGAUGACUGGGGUGAAGUCGCAACAAGGUA
rnacentral:rRNA from 1 species